ACACGUGGUAUCCUGUCUGAAUAUGGGGGGACCAUCCUCCAAGGCUAAAUACUCCUGACUGACCGAUAGUGAACCAGUACCGUGAGGGAAAGGCGAAAAGAACCCCGGCGAGGGGAGUGAAAAAGAACCUGAAACCGUGUACGUACAAGCAGUGGGAGCACCUUCGGGUGUGACUGCGUACCUUUUGUAUAAUGGGUCAGCGACUUAUAUUCUGUAGCAAGGUUAACCGUAUAGGGGAGCCGCAGGGAAACCGAGUCUUAACUGGGCGUUAAGUUGCAGGGUAUAGACCCGAAACCCGGUGAUCUAGCCAUGGGCAGGUUGAAGGUUGGG
rnacentral:rRNA from 1 species